GUUGAGGAGGAGGGGAGCCAGCUGAUGGAGGUGGUGGAGACAAAUUUGGAAUGGAAGGUGAAGUUUCAGCUGGAGGAGGUGCAGUGGCAGCUGGUGUAGGAGGUGGUGAUGUUACAACUGGUGGAGCUGACAAUGCAGGAGGCGGUGAUGUUACAAUUGGUGGAGGUGAUGAUGCUGGUGGUGGAGAUGUUGGCGGCGGUGUAGUCGACGGUGGAGGAGGAGAAAGAGAUGGUGAAGGAGGAGGAGUUACUGGCACUGUCGUCGACAGAGGAGGAACUGAGGGAGGUGGUGAAUUAGUUGUUUGAUUGGACUG
rnacentral:lncRNA from 1 species